ensembl:lncRNA
UGGUUUGUGAGGGAUUGUGGUCUGUGUGUGUUUGAGAGUGCAUGGCAUGCAGCCAGCAGGAGGAGUGUGGUGCCUGCGUGUGUCUUUGUUUGUUUUCUCCCCCUCCUUUUCAAGUGCAGUGAAGGGGCGGAGCCACGUGUCCGGCGGCCAACAACAAAGCUAGCUUCGAGAGGUCUGCCAAAAUUUGCCCCCUGCACUUGUUCAAAGGGACCAAAGUACAGUGCCAAAUUUCGAAUAAUCAAGGAGCACAGCAGAGAGUUGGACGGCCUGCUUGAUUUUCUGGCAAAGUACUGCAUCCUCAGUCAGGACAAGCUGUCCAUGUACAAAAGAGCUUUUGAGGCCGUGAGUAAAAGAAAAUUUCACAAUUUCCACAUCAAAAAGAACGGUUUUGUUUAUUUUCAUAUGCUAGUAAUGACAGUAAUCACUUAACUGUCACUUACUUUGACUGUAAUACUCCGUGCCUGCAGGCUGAUAGUGAUGGAGAUGGUUAUCUGAGCUGUCUCCAAGUUUUGCUGGCACUGAAAGAGAUCAUUCCCCCAGAACUUCUGACUGAAGAAGAGGAAAUAUAUGUGUACAGGGUAAACGCCCUCUUCAAAAAAAUAUAUAUACGAUCUGCCCGUCUCUCUUUUUUAUCACAAUGUCUAGAGGCAAUUCACUAAGAAUGAUUUGUGCUGGCUGAUAGCGACAUUUUAUUUGCAUGCACUGUCUGUGUUGUUUUAGCACCCGUUUCACUAAAGGAAUCAUGCAAAUUAGGUAACUGCGCAAACACAACCAUAAAAUCUGUGUCAAACACAAUUUGCCCAGCGGAAUUGCAGGGCAGAGUAAAACAGUGAAAAUACACAGGUCUGCACCAUAUAUCCGCAUACAAACCUGGUUUUAGGAUGUUUCUGCAUCAUUUGAUCAUUUUUAUUUAAUGAAUUAUUACUGAUCAACAGAAAAUCAACAGAAACAUUGCUUUUAAAUUAAAUUCAGUUAU